rnacentral:rRNA from 1 species
CCCUUAGAUGUUCUGGGCCGCACGCGCGCUACACUGAUGCAUUCAACGAGUCUAAAACCUGCUCUGAUAGGGGUGGGUAAUCUUUUGAAUGUGCAUCGUGAUUGGGAUAGAUGAUUGCAAUUUUUCAUCUUCAACGAGGAAUGCCUAGUAAACGCAAGUCAUCAGCUUGCAUUGAUUACGUCCCUGCCCUUUGUACACACCGCCCGUCGCUCCUACCGAUUGAAUGAUCCGAUGAAUAUCAUGGAUUGAGGAUGCAAGCAGGUUCGCCUGUCUUCAUCUUCGAGAAGGGAAGUAAAUCUUAUCAUUUAGAGGAAGGAGAAGUCGUAACA